UUUUAACAUUUUAAUAGAGAAUCUGCUGACUUAUAAUUCUAUGUUCCAGAUUUAGUUUUAAAUUUAUAUUAUUUUCUCAUUACUUUAUGUGUGUAUAUCUUAGACCCCAAGCUAGAUUAAAGGUGCCAAUGGGAAAAAACUUACCAGAAGACAUGGACUUGGAACUGAUUCAUUUGAGCAACCAGGCAGGUGGCUGAGAAGCUUGCCAGAGGGCAUGGGUAGGCUAAGUCAGACCAUGGAGGCCACUGAGUUGAGGUCCCCCUGCUGAAGAGAAGACUUCUUUCAUUGGCCCCGAUGGAAACCCUGCCUGCUCAUUCUGAUGCUGUUGUGAUCUCUUAUUUUCCAUACAAGUGGAAAUAAAGGGCCUGCAGUAAUUUAUUGAAUAUCUACUACUGUGAAAAUGAAUAAAGGAAUCCUCAUUCAAAAUGGAGUGAGGAAUCCAUGAAGGGAGAGUUCUCAUACACCACGACUCAUCACAGUCUGCAUACCCAGCAGAGAGAAGAAAGAUUUCCUCUCAGGCUGGCAACAGCAAGCUGCCCAGACCUGCAGUCAAUGAGAAGCUGCCACCACUUCAAACUCUUUUUCCCCCAUAAAAAGAUGCUCUCCCACUCUGUUAUCUAGACUUGCUUAUUGUUCACCAUAGUUUGCAUGUCCCAAACUGCAAAUAAACUAUUCCCAAAUAAACUCA